rnacentral:rRNA from 1 species
UGGGGAAUUUUGGACAAUGGGCGAAAGCCUGAUCCAGCCAUGCCGCGUGCAGGAUGAAGGCCUUCGGGUUGUAAACUGCUUUUGUACGGAACGAAAUGACUCUGGUUAAUACCUGGGGUCCAUGACGGUACCGUAAGAAUAAGCACCGGCUAACUACGUGCCAGCAGCCGCGGUAAUACGUAGGGUGCAAGCGUUAAUCGGAAUUAUUGGGCGUAAAGCGUGCGCAGGCGGUUAUAUAAGACAGAUGUGAAAUCCCCGGGCUCAACCUGGGAACUGCAUUUGUGACUGUAUAGCUAGAGUACGGCAGAGGGGGGAUGGAAUUCCCGCGUGUAGCAGUGAAAUGCGUAGAUAUGCGGAGGAACACCGAUGGCGAAGGCAAUCCCCUGGGCCUGUACUGACGCUCAUGCACGAAAGCGUGGGGGAGCAAACAGGAUUAGAUACCCCUGGUAGUCCACGCCCUAAACGAUGUCAACUGGUUGUUGGGUCUUCACUGACUCAGUAACGAAGCUAACGCGUGAAGUUGACCGCCU